AACGGCGGCCGUAACUAUAACGGUCCUAAGGUAGCGAAAUUCCUUGUCGGGUAAGUUCCGACCCGCACGAAAGGCGUAAUGAUUUGAGCACUGUCUCGACAAUGCAUCCGGUGAAAUUGAAGUACCAGUGAAGAUGCUGGUUACCUGCGCCAGGACGGAAAGACCCCAUGGAGCUUUACUCUAGCUUGAUACUGGGAUUCGAUAUUGCAUGUACAGGAUAGGUGGGAGACUAGGAAGUGGUGACGCCAGUUGCCAUGGAGUCAAUGUUGGGAUACCACCCUUGCAGUAUUGGGUUUCUAACCAGCAGCCGUGAUCCGGCUGGGGGACAAUGUCAGGUGGGGAGUUUGACUGGGGCGGUCGCCUCCGAAAGGGUAUCGGAGGCGCUCAAAGGUUCCCUCAGAAUGGUCGGAAACCAUUUGAAGAGUGCAAAGGCAGAAGGGAGCUUGACUGCGACACCGACGGGUGGAGCAGGUACGAAAGUAGGACUUAGUGAUCCGGUGGUAUAAAGUGGGAUUGCCAUCGCUCAACGGAUAAAAGCUACCCUGGGGAUAACAGGCUUAUCACUCCCAAGAGUUCACAUCGACGGAGUGGUUUGGCACCUCGAUGUCGGCUCAUCGCAUCCUGGGGCUGUAGCAGGUCCCAAGGGUUGGGCUGUUCGCCCAUUAAAGCGGUACGCGAGCUGGGUUCAGAACGUCGUGAGACAGUUCGGUCCCUAUCCGGCGUGGGCGUAGGAUAUUUGAGAGGAGCUGCCCUUAGUACGAGAGGACCGGGGUGGACUGGCCGCUGGUGUAUCUGUUGUAUUACCAAGUGCAUAGCAGAGUAGCCAAGCCGGGAAGGGAUAAACGCUGAAGGCAUCUAAGCGUGAAGCCCCCCUCAAGAUGAGAUAUCCCU
rnacentral:rRNA from 1 species